UGUACACACCGCCCGUCACACCAUGGGAGUGGGUUGCACCAGAAGUAGCUAGUCUAACCUUCGGGGGGACGGUUACCACGGUGUGAUUCAUGACUGGGGUGAAGUCGUAACAAGGUAGCCGUAGGGGAACCUGCGGCUGGAUCACCUCCUUAAUCGACGACUCAGCUGCACCAUAAGCACCCACACGAAUUGCUUGAUUCAUUGAAGAAGACGAUUAGAAGCAGCUUUAAGCUCCAAGCUGAUAGCUCAACGCUAGCGGCUACAAGCUCGAAAUUGGGUCUGUAGCUCAGUUGGUUAGAGCGCACCCCUGAUAAGGGUGAGGUCGGCAGUUCGAAUCUGCCCAGACCCACCAAUUUUGUGUGGGAAACGCCUGUAGAAAUACGGGGCCAUAGCUCAGCUGGGAGAGCGCCUGCCUUGCACGCAGGAGGUCAGCGGUUCGAUCCCGCUUGGCUCCACCACUUACUGCUUCUGUUUUGAAAGCUUAGAAAUGAGCAUUCCAUUGAUCCUGAUGAUCAGUGCCUGAAUGUUGAUUUCUAGUCUUUGAUUAGAUCGUUCUUUAAAAAUUUGGGUAUGUGAUAGAAAGAAAUAUAGACCGGGCACCUCUUUCACUGGUGUGUGUUCGGGCUAAGGUAAAGUUUGUGAAAUGCAAACUUUCGGCGAAUGUCGUCUUCACAGUAUAACCAGAUUGCUUGGGGUUAUAUGGUCAAGUGAAGAAGCGCAUACGGUGGAUGCCUUGGCAGUCAGAGGCGAUGAAAGACGUGGUAGCCUGCGAAAAGCUUCGGGGAGUCGGCAAACAGACUGUGAUCCGGAGAUGUCUGAAUGGGGCAACCC
rnacentral:misc_RNA from 1 species